rnacentral:rRNA from 1 species
AUUGAACGCUGGCGGCAGGCUUAACACAUGCAAGUCGAGCGGGGUGAUGGUGCUUGCACUAUCACUUAGCGGCGGACGGGUGAGUAAUGCUUAGGAAUCUGCCUAUUAGUGGGGGACAACAUCUCGAAAGGGAUGCUAAUACCGCAUACGUCCUAAGGGAGAAAGCAGGGGAUCACUUGUGACCUUGCGCUAAUAGAUGAGCCUAAGUCGGAUUAGCUAGUUGGUGGGGUAAAGGCCUACCAAGGCGACGAUCUGUAGCGGGUCUGAGAGGAUGAUCCGCCACACUGGGACUGAGACACGGCCCAGACUCCUACGGGAGGCAGCAGUGGGGAAUAUUGGACAAUGGGGGGAACCCUGAUCCAGCCAUGCCGCGUGUGUGAAGAAGGCCUUAUGGUUGCAAAGCACUUUAAGCGAGGAGGAGGCUCUUUUGGUUAAUACCCAAGAUGAGUGGACGUUACUCGCAGAAUAAGCACCGGCUAACUCUGUGCCAGCCGCCGCAGUAA